rfam:Hordeum vulgare subsp. vulgare, WGS project CAJW01000000 data, contig: morex_contig_42764
UAAAUACUCCAUCCGUUCCAAAAUUCUUGUCUUAGGUUUGCUUAGAAAUCGUUGUACCUAAAUACUAAUACAUGUCUACAUACAUUCAUAUCUAGACAAAUCAAAUACAAGAAUUUUGGGACGGAGAAAGUAUAAG